UGGCCCACAACCCAAAGAAAACUCCUGGAUAGAUUCCAUCUAGAGAAAGGCCAAGAAAGCCAGCAAGGUCUAAAACCUGUUCUUCAGACUUGCUUUUAGCAACCUGCGACGGCUGACCUUGUGGCCAGGCUGCAAGGAUGGGAUAGAAUAACAACAGAUGAGAAAGCUCUUUAUCGUGUUGCAGGCAGUUUGUGAAGAGAUCAGAGUCUGCUUGAAAAUUCAAUGUUCCUUUGGAGCCCAAAGUAUUUAAAAUGCUCAGAGGAAAAGGAGGUAUAGAUCUGGUUAGCUCUGGUACUGACCCUCCCUGGCACUGUGGACAUGGAGCAGGGAAAGUGUCACUUCUGGUCACCAUAGCCUUUUCCCACCCCACUUACACAGCACGGCUGUCCUGUGUCUUAUUCAGCUGUGUUGACAAGCUCCCUGCAAAACAUCUCAUGGUACUCCAUCCGCUAGCCCAGAAGACGCUGGCAUUCCUGAAUACUUUGGCAUCAGGAGUAUCUCUCAAC